AUCAAAGCCGGUCUCAGUUCGGAUUGCAGGCUGAAACUCGCCUGCAUGAAGCUGGAAUCGCUAGUAACGGUAAGUCAGCACAUUACCGUGAAUACGUUCCCGGGUCUUGUACACACCGCCCGUCAAGCCAUGGAAGUCGGGGGCACCCGAAGUACGUCUUUUGACGUCCUAAGGUGAAUUCGAUAACUGGGGUUAAGUCGUAACAAGGUAUCCGUACCGGAAGGUGCGGAUGGAUUACCUCCUUU
rnacentral:rRNA from 1 species